rnacentral:piRNA from 1 species
UUGUGGUAGUGGGGGACUGCGUUCGCGCUCUCCCCUG